UGAACGCUGGCGGCGUGCCUAAUACAUGCAAGUCGAGCGAACGGACGAGAAGCUUGCUUCUCUGAUGUUAGCGGCGGACGGGUGAGUAACACGUGGAUAACCUACCUAUAAGACUGGGAUAACUUCGGGAAACCGUAGCUAAUACCGGAUAAUAUUUUGAACCGCAUGGUUCAAAAGUGAAAGACGGUCUUGCUGUCACUUAUAGAUGGAUCCGCGCUGCAUUAGCUAGUUGGUAAGGUAACGGCUUACCAAGGCAACGAUGCAUAGCCGACCUGAGAGGGUGAUCGGCCACACUGGAACUGAGACACGGUCCAGACUCCUACGGGAGGCAGCAGUAGGGAAUCUUCCGCAAUGGGCGAAAGCCUGACGGAGCAACGCCGCGUGAGUGAUGAAGGUCUUCGGAUCGUAAAACUCUGUUAUUAGGGAAGAACAUAUGUGUAAGUAACUGUGCACAUCUUGACGGUACCUAAUCAGAAGGCCACGGCUAACUACGUG
rnacentral:rRNA from 1 species